UAAAAUGUAUUUUAACCCUUACCCCAACCUGAAUUUAAUGUGAAUAUAUAUUUUUUACGCCUUGUGUGCUCCAACAUACAAUGCUGGAACUGAGACAUCAUCAAAAGACUGUGAGCGCCUGUUGUUCUCCAGAAUACAAUUCUGGCACUGCGACAACAUCGAAAGACCUCCAACCAUAAGUCCCGAUUUUCCACCGCCAUCGCAUUGUACUGUGAUGAAUAUAAAGCUGUGUUCCAUUGUUCAACUUAAG